UGAGAUCCACUGCCUCUUCUGAGCCAUUUACUGUCCAACUCCCAGCCUCAUUCACAUACUCCUAUGAAAGCCCCUUCCCAGCCAUACCCACCACAUCCCAACUACCAACCACAGAAAGACCACCUGAAAUGUAUCCCUACUCCGUUGCCUCUGAUAUGAGUCAUCUGUCUGAUAUGGGAAUCCACAGAGGAGAUCAUCAAGAACUACCAAAAGACAAGAGAUUUUCAGCAUUUCGUAGGCCUGGGGAUUGGGACUGUCCUUGGUGUAAAGCUGUGAAUUUUUCAAGGAGGGAAAACUGUUUCCACUGUGGGAAGGGAAUUUGGCUGCAAAACCCUUAGUGGAUUUGGAAUUUGAAAUAGAACAGAAACAAACCAA
rnacentral:lncRNA from 1 species